rnacentral:rRNA from 1 species
AUUGAACGCUGGCGGCAGGCUUAACACAUGCAAGUCGAACGAGUGGCGGACGGGUGAGUAACGUCUGGGAAACUGCCUGAUGGAGGGGGAUAACCAGUGGAAACGGUAGCUAAUACCGCAUACCAUCAGAUGUGCCCAGGUGGGAUUAGCUGGUUGGUGGGGUAACGGCUCACCAGGGCGACAAUCCCUAGCUGGUCUGAGAGGAUGACCGGCACAACUGGAACUGGGACACGGUCCAGACUCCUACGGGAGGCGGCAGUGGGAAAUUUUGCACAAUGGGCGAAAGCCUGAGGCGGCAAUGCCGCGUGUUUGAAACAGGCCUUCGGGUUGUAAAGUACUUUCAGCGGGGAGGCGUUACCCGCAGAAGAAGCACCGGCUAACUCCGUGCCAGCAGCCGCGGUAAUUC